AGCACGGAGCUUGCUCUGGUGGCGAGUGGCGAACGGGUGAGUAAUAUAUCGGAACGUACCCAAGAGUGGGGGAUAACGUAGCGAAAGUUACGCUAAUACCGCAUACGAUCUAAGGAUGAAAGCAGGGGACCGCAAGGCCUUGUGCUCCUGGAGCGGCCGAUAUCUGAUUAGCUAGUUGGUGAGGUAAAGGCUCACCAAGGCAUCGAUCAGUAGCUGGUCUGAGAGGACGACCAGCCACACUGGAACUGAGACACGGUCCAGACUCCUACGGGAGGCAGCAGUGGGGAAUUUUGGACAAUGGGGGCAACCCUGAUCCAGCAAUGCCGCGUGAGUGAAGAAGGCCUUCGGGUUGUAAAGCUCUUUUGUCAGGGAAGAAACGGUUCUGGCUAAUAUCCAGAGCUAAUGACGGUACCUGAAGAAUAAGCACCGGCUAACUACGUGCCAGCAGCCGCGGUAAUACGUAGGGUGCAAGCGUUAAUCGGAAUUACUGGGCGUAAAGCGUGCGCAGGCGGUUUUGUAAGACUGUCGUGAAAUCCCCGGGCUCAACCUGGGAAUGGCGAUGGUGACUGCAAGGCUAGAGUUUGGCAGA
rnacentral:rRNA from 1 species